ensembl:snRNA U6 U6 spliceosomal RNA
AUGCUCAGUUUGGCACAUGUAUACUAAAAGUGGAAUGAUACAGAAAAGGUUAGCAUGACCUCUGAGCAAGGAUGACAUGCAAAUUCAUGAAGCAUUCCGGAUUUUG